ACUCAAAUGAAUAGACGGGGGCCCGCACAAGCGGUGGAGCAUGUGGUUCAAUUCGACGCAACGCGAAGAACCUUACCAGCUCUUGACAUGUCCCGUAUGGCCCCGGGAGACCGGGGCCUUCAGUUCGGCUGGCGGGAACACAGGUGCUGCAUGGCUGUCGUCAGCUCGUGUCGUGAGAUGUUGGGUUAAGUCCCGCAACGAGCGCAACCCUCAUCUUCAGUUGCCAUCGGGUUAAGCCGAGCACUCUGAAGAAACUGCCGGUGACAAGCCGGAGGAAGGCGGGGAUGACGUCAAGUCCUCAUGGCCUUUAUGGGCUGGGCCACACACGUGCUACAAUGGCGGUGACAGUGGGUUCAGUGCGAAGGGGCAACCCGGAGCCAAUCCCCAAAAGCCGUCUCAGUUCGGAUUGCACUCUGCAACUCGAGUGCAUGAAGCCGGAAUCGCUAGUAAUCGCGGAUCAGCACGCCGCGGUGAAUACGUUCCCGGGCCUUGUACACACCGCCCGU
rnacentral:rRNA from 1 species